GAUGAACGCUGGCGGCGUGCUUAACACAUGCAAGUCGAACGGAAAGGCUCCUUCUUGCAGGGGUGCUCGAGUGGCGAACGGGUGAGUAACGCGUGGGUGAUCUGCCCUGCACUUCGGGAUAAGCCUGGGAAACUGGGUCUAAUACCGGAUAGGACGAUGGUUUGGAUUCCAUUGUGGAAAGUUUUUCGGUGUGGGUUGAGCUCGCGGCCUAUCAGCCUGUUGGUGGGGUAAUGGCCUACGAAGGCGUCGACGGGUAGCCGGCCUGAGAGGGUGUACGGCCACAUUGGGACUGAGAUACGGCCCAGACUCCUACGGGAGGCAGCAGUGGGGAAUAUUGCACAAUGGGCGCAAGCCUGAUGCAGCGACGCCGCGUGGGGGAUGACGGCCUUCGGGUUGUAAACUCCUUUCGCUAGGGACGAAGCGCAAGUGACGGUACCUGGAGAAGAAGCACCGGCUAACUACGUG
rnacentral:rRNA from 1 species